rnacentral:misc_RNA from 1 species
AAGUCGUAACAAGGUUUCCGUAGGUGAACCUGCGGAAGGAUCAUUAACGAGUUAGGGUCUCUCUGGCCCGACCUCCCAACCCUUUGUCUACUUGACCAUCGUUGCUUCGGCGAGCCCGUCCUCACAGACCGCCGGAGGGACCUUCACAGGCCCUCUGGUCCGCGCUCGUCGGUAGCCCAACCAUUAAAAUCUUUAACUAAACGUGCCUUAAUCUAAGUACAAUUAUUAAAUAAAAGCAAAACUUUCAACAACGGAUCUCUUGGUUCUG